rnacentral:rRNA from 1 species
AAUGAACGCUGGCGGCAGGCCUAACACAUGCAAGUCGAACGGAUCCUUCGGGAUUAGUGGCGGACGGGUGAGUAACGCGUGGGAACUUACCCUUUGGUACGGAAUAGCCUCGGGAAACUGGGAGUAAUACCGUAUGUGGUCGAGAGACGAAAGAUUUAUCGCCAAAGGAUUGGCCCGCGUUGGAUUAGGUAGUUGGUGGGGUAAUGGCCUACCAAGCCGAUGAUCCAUAGCUGGUUUGAGAGGAUGAUCAGCCACACUGGGACUGAGACACGGCCCAGACUCCUACGGGAGGCAGCAGUGGGGAAUCUUAGACAAUGGGGGAAACCCUGAUCUAGCCAUGCCGCGUGAUCGAUGAAGGCCUUAGGGUUGUAAAGAUCUUUCAGGUGGGAAGAUAAUGACUGUACCACCAGAAGAAGCCCCGGCUAACUCCGUGCCAGCCGCCGCAGUAA